rnacentral:rRNA from 1 species
UGAGGAAUAUUGGACAAUGGGUGAAAGCCUGAUCCAGCCAUCCCGCGUGCAGGAAGACGGCCCUAUGGGUUGUAAACUGCUUUUAUCUGGGGAUAAACCUACUUACGUGUAAGUAGCUGAAGGUACCAGAAGAAUAAGCACCGGCUAACUCCGUGCCAGCAGCCGCGGUAAUACGGAGGGUGCAAGCGUUAUCCGGAUUUAUUGGGUUUAAAGGGUCCGUAGGCGGACUGAUAAGUCAGUGGUGAAAUCCGACAGCUUAACUGUCGAACUGCCAUUGAUACUGUUAGUCUUGAGUAAGGUUGAAGUGGCUGGAAUAAGUAGUGUAGCGGUGAAAUGCAUAGAUAUUACUUAGAACACCAAUUGCGAAGGCAGGUCACUAAGUCUUAACUGACGCUGAGGCACGAAAGCGUGGGGAGCAAAUAGG